UGACAGAUCACGCCGCGUGAGUGAUGAAGGCCUCUGGGCUGUAACCUCUUUUAUCUGGGAAGAAAAUCUGACGGUACUUGAUGAAUAAACCACGGCUAAUUCCGUGCCAACAGCCGCGGUAAUACCGGAGUGGCAAGCGUUAUCCGGAAUUAUUGGGCAUAAAGCGUCCGCAGGCGGCCCUUCAAGUCUGCUGUUAAAAAGUGGAGCUUAACUCCAUCAUGGCACUGGACUCUGUUGGGCUUGUGUGUGGUAGGGGCAUAGAGAAUUCCCGGUGUAACGGUAAUGUGCUUAGAUGUCGAGAAGAACACCGGUGGCAAAUGCGCUCUGCUGGGCCAUCACUGACGCUCAUGGACGAAAGCCAGGGGAGCGAAAGGGAUUAAAUACCCCUGUAGUCCUGGACGUAAACGAUGAACACUACGUGUCGGGGGAAUCGACCCCCUCGGUGUCGUAGCCAACGCGUUAAGUGUUCCGCCUGGGGAGUACGCACGCAAGUGUGAAACUCAAAGGAAAUUGACGG
rnacentral:rRNA from 1 species